UAGGUGAGGCCAGUGAAACACUCAGUCAAAUAUGGACGUGAAGUUGAACUGAAAUAAGGCUCAGGUAGAGGUAAAUUAACUGCCAUACCGAGUCAGCGAAACUUUAAGAACCAAACGGAAGGGACAGGACGGGCUUACCCUGCAGCCAUCAACCUUACCAGCGGUUAACACGAGGCCGAGAAUAUACGGGCAGACUGAUACCCACCCCUUCUCCAUACUGUUGUAUAAGGAGGGAUAGAUGGAGCCCUCAUUUCCUUUAUUAAGAAGGGGGUUUUCAUCAAGCUUUGGGGACUUUCAUACGCUUGAUUUAAAACGAUUCAACUAUGGGGGGAUAAAAGGUUUGCGAAGGCGUUUUUUGUUAAUGAAAUCGAGGUGGCGCGGUAGGUGGACUGUUAAGAGAGAGCGAGAUUCGAUUUAUUAGGAUUCUCAAAUGUACUAAUGAAAAUUCAACUCCUAAGGCAGCCAGGGGCACAGAGGCACAAAAUUGACAAAAAGUGAACAAAAUGUGGCUAUUUUUAUCCAAGUCUUUAUCAUACGCCUUCUUAAGAGCAAUCCCAGAGAAAUCACCAGACACUGUCUCAACGGGUGAAAACUUAGAUCGCAAAAAACUAUCAAAUAACGCCAGGGUUGCCUGUGGGUUACGUGACGUGAGCGUGACACAACCGUGACAUAUAAUUCGUGAUGGACGGAAGACUUGGCACCAUGGGAACUAAUUUCAAUAUGGCGGCGGAUAAUUCAGUUCGAACGCAGUGCGACUGGCACUACCAAACCUUUCGAGGAAAAACACUCUCAAAGUCAUCAUUUGCCUUCAAAAAUGUUCCAUUUUGCUUAGCAAGAACUGAAAGCGAUGGAAAAUGGCUAUGGUAGCGAUAAAGAAGCUAAAAUGGAGACCACUUAAUCUAACUUAGUUUUUCUGGAUCAAUCUCAGAGGAUGAAUGGCAGUAACAUCAAAAAGGAAGUGGGGAAAAGAAAGAGAGGG